rnacentral:tRNA from 1 species
AGAUAAAAUUUAAAAUGUAAUAUUAGGGGUAUUAGGAUGGGUUUCAAUGUUUGUUCUG